rnacentral:antisense_RNA from 1 species
GCGGCCGCGGGCGACUCCUGGCACCCCCGAGGCCCCGCGAACUCACCUUCACAAAGCUGUCGGCGUCCGGGAAGCCUGGCAGCACCAUCUCUUCGUCGGAUUUGGACGCGCUGGUCGCCGACAGGACCCUGGGCUCCCGGGUAAGCUUCUGAAGAAAGCGUCUAGCUCCAACUGUGCUUCCUCCCUCCAGUACCCUCUGAACUCCAAGCAGACGUUCUUUCCUGCAGACAUCGCUGGAACCAUUCUGGUUAACAGAGUGGGAACUCAGUACACAUUUGUGAAGUGAACUCUUGGAAGAGCUCUUGUGAGGAAGGCACCGAAUUAUCAGGCAGCUCAAGAGAUAGAUUCUCUCCUGAAAUUAGAGAUGGGAUGCCCUUAAUACAAAUUCAUUCCACCCAUUAAGUGUUCAAUAAAUCUUCAGCUAUCCAAUUAA